rnacentral:lncRNA from 1 species
GGGUCUCUUACUCAUUCAGAUUAUUUAUUAAGAGCAAAAGUCGGGCCAUCCCAUCGUGUGAUAUUGCAACAUGAAAAGUCACAUACAUACUAAGGAGACCCCACAGAAUUGAGAGCCUUUCAACAGUACAGAGCCAUAGAUUACGAAGUUAAAAUACAAAUGAUCCCCCAGAUUUGGCAGGAAACAAGUACAAUAUGAGGAGGCCUGGAAUGGAAGGGCACUUACUUUUCAAUAAGGCAGUUACAAAAUGGGAAAAAAAACCCCCAAAACCUUGUACCCCAAAAUAUACUCUGAUGAGCGUAGCAGACAAUAGAAAUGUAAAAGAAGGAUCCUGUAUAACCCUCUGUCAUUGGCAAAUGUGUGCAUUAAGUGAAAGCAACUGAAGGGUUUGUGUUUUAAGAUGCAAGCUAGAUGAAACAACUGACUGUAGACAUUUCUACCUCAAGAACAGUUCAUAUCUUGCCCUAGGCUGGGUUCUACCUCAAAACACCAGACCCACUUUACCAUUUCUAACCAUAAACUUGGAAACAGUCUAUAAUACAAUGAAAGGAAUAAAAAGGCACCCCUAGAGCACCAUGCUUCCCAAGGCAUGAUCUUGAGCUCAUCUGCCCUUCGGUUCGACUGCCCAGCUCAGUAACAGGGACCAGGAGCCAGGGCCAGCUGAAUUACACAACCUCAAAGGAUCGCCUGGAAGGCAGAUAUCUGACCAAGAGAUCACAGACCAAGCACAUUUCAUGAGAAUUUAAAUGCUAGGACAAUACUACCUCUCCCAAUAGGGCUUUUGAACCCUGGUUUUAAAUAACAGGCUAGAUCUGUUUUCCCUUACCACUCAUUUUGCAAAACUCAACUGGCCUAAACAUUUCGCUCAAUCUUGAGUUCUGCAGGUUGGUCCCUGAGAGCUAGGUUGGCCUUGGGAAUUUCUGCUCAAUUUUAAGUUCUCAAGAAUCUGAGGGCAGCCGAUUUAGACUGAAUUAGAGUCAUCCUAUAGGUCAGAAAGAAAGAAUGCUAGACAGGUCAAGAGGGCCAGAGGUUGGUUCUGAUAAUGCCAUAUGACCUCAGGCACAUCUUUUUGAGUUUUAGUUUCCCCAUCUCUAAAAACGGAUGAUUGGACAACAGCAAGCUUAACAGACUUUCCACCUUGAAAAUACGGCACUUCUCUGACGCUUAGACCUUAAGUCCUGAAGCGUUGUUUUCUCAGCAAAAACAGUGCAAAGUCCUUACAGGAAUCUAAGGUACAAGCCCUGGGCAACCAUGAAAACUUUAAACUUCAUGCAAAGCAACGAAGUUAUAAAUCCUCCAGCUGAACAAUUUCCUGAUGAUGUGAGCAUCCGUUUUUGUGGGGCAAGCACAGAACUGAGUCCUCAUCUGUCUGAGGUUUAGCAGGCUGCUAACAUCUUCUCAUCCCCCUCUCCUCUCCCCAAGCUUUGGCAGAAACAAGCCAGCCAGUAGGGUUUUCUCAACAUUCUCCAACAAGGAACUGAGUGGACUAAUACUCAGGGGUAAGGACAGUGUACCAAAGUGUCCAUGUCCUAGCAUUGUUUCUUUCCAAAAGGCAAACGCUAUGCUUUGGGACAGUGCCAGCAAUUAGGUGCUUUGCCAAAAAUAACUUGUCCCAUGUGGCCCCCAUGGGGCAGAGACUAAGAUGGAAAUUACAGAGAACAUAGAAAAGCCAGAGGUUUACAAAGAACAGGCUUCUCCACGAGGUAGUGGGUUCUCUGUCCUCGGAGGUGUUUAAGUCCAGACUGCUCAACCCCUUGGUGGGAUGGUUGUAGGGGGUUUAGUCCUGACUUCUCUGUGAUGGUGCUCAGAUUAAGUCAUCUGUGAAACUCUCUGCCAGGCCAGGCUGUCCAUUGUUCUUAUUAUUUAAGGCUUAAGAAAUUAACUCAGAAUUGAAACUGAGUAGGAAAAUGACACCUUUGACCAUAUGUCAAGAUGGUCAUAAAUUAGAAUCCAAAUUCUUUUCUUUUCUUUCUCCCACCCUCCUACCCCAUACCCUCUGCCCUCCAUUACACAGAUUAAAGAAUUUUGCAAAAGCACAUUUUUGGAUAUAAAGCUUUGUUUUCACAGGAUACUUUGGCUCUGAUAUAAUUAGAUUGAGGAGUUCAACGUUUUGAACAACAAAAAAAUUAGGUAAUUUUCAAAAAUUAUUUUAGCAAUCUUUCUCCCUAAGAGGGAGGCAAAUUGUUCACAAAAAUGAGCAUCAGAUGGAAUUGACCUUUGUUGCCCAAACUCAUGAUUUGCUGAUGACCAGAGCCCAGGGAGUCAAGGCCAGCCAGACUUUCAAUCCUAAGCUGAACUUCUGGGCAGGAAUCACAUGGCCCCUGGCAGCUUGCAUGGUGGUUGUGAACUUAGGAUGAAAACUUCUAAAAAUACUUGCCCCAACCUACUAAAUAUGUCAGUGUGUCAAUGCAUUUAUUACCAAGAAGCUUGGCUGAAGUCAUAAUAUCUAACUGCACCCCAAAGAGUGAAGCAUAGUGGGGUGCAUAAGGGACCGUAUCUUCUGUGAGGGUCUCUAUAUCAGUGUUUCUGGAACCUCAACGAAUAGUUUUGCACAUGCAACUGUCCUGAAAUCCUUAUCUGAUCAGAAACUUCCUUGUUGGUGCAUCAGGAUUUCCUCCACAUUCUAGCAGUUAAGUGGUGAGCAACAGAAAUGGCAGAGGUCUCAGUCAUGAGAGGUGUGAAGCGGAUGUUACAAGGCUGGCACUAUUAGUGACAGCUCAAUUAGCCAAUACCUACUGAUUGAGUGCCUACUGUGUACAAGGCACAGGGUGAGUGAGGGGGACCAGUGUCAAACUGAUCUGCUGAUAAAUGACAAAGCUUGCAACAAAGCGGGCGGGAUAUCUAUGUCGCCAGCGGGCAGCAUGCAAGUCCAGAUGUGGGUCUGCUCAUGCACUUCCAUGGCCAAUUGCACCUUGCUGCUAUUCCAAGCUACAGCUCACACGUGGCAGCCUGGUGGAUAAGGUGAUUACCAAAAUAUUUCUUAUCCCACAUUUCCAGUAGAAUUGAUUUAAUGCUUUGUUGAAUGCUGAAAUACAUAGUUUUUAAUU